GGCUGCUAAUACAUGCAAGUCGAGCGAAGUAGCAAUACUUAGCGGCGAACGGGUGCGUAAUACUUACCUAACCUGCCCUUUAGAGGAGGAUAACUGAUCGAAAGAUUAGCUAAUACUCCAUAGGAUAUUUGUUCGCAUGAACAGAUAUUUAAAGUUGCGUUUGCAACACUUUAGGAUGGGGGUGAGGCUUAUCAGAUAGUUGGUGAGGUAACGGCCCACCAAGUCAAUGACGAGUAGCUAUGCUGAGAGGUAGAAUAGCCACAAUGGGACUGAGACACGGCCCAUACUCCUACGGGAGGCAGCAGUAGGGAAUUUUUCUCAAUGGGCGAAAGCCUGAAGGAGCAAUACCGCGUGAACGAUGAAGGUCUUUGGAUUGUAAAGUUCUUUUAUUAGGGACGAACGGUCACAGCAGGAAAUGGUUGUGAUUUGACUGUACCUUUUGAAUAAGUAACGGCAAACUUUGUGCCAGCAGCCGCGGUAAUACAAAGGUUACAAGCGUUAUCCGGAUUUACUGGGCGUAAAGCGAGCGCGGGCUGAUUAACAAGUCUGGUGUUAAAUACUGUUGCUUAACAAUAGUAUGCAUUGGAAACUGUUAAUCUAGAGUAUGAUAGGGAGUUCAAGAACUCCAUGUGGAGCGGUGGAAUGCGUAGAUAUAUGGAAGAAUACCAGUGGUGAAGACGUGAACUUAGGUCAAUACUGACGCUUAGGCUCGAAAGUGUGGGGAGCAAAUAGGAUUAGAUACCCUAGUAGUCCACACCGUAAACGAUGAUCAUUAGGUGUAGCCACGAUAGUGGUUGUGCCGUAGUUAACACGUUAAAUGAUCCGCCUGGGUAGUACAUUCGCAAGAAUGAAACUCAAACGGAAUUGACGGGGACCCGCACAAGUGGUGGAGCAUGUUGUUUAAUUCGACAGUACACGCAAACCUUACCAGGUUUGACAUGUUGAGCAAAGUUGUAGAAUACAAUGGAGUUACUCAAACACAGUGGUGCAUGGUUGUCGU
rnacentral:rRNA from 1 species